rnacentral:misc_RNA from 1 species
GUGUUUAUUUUUGGAGUAAAUCACUGUCUAUUCCAGCCGAUCGUAUUGGUGUUAUUCUCGUUGGCGGCCAACUGGGAUACCUCCUGGGUAUGGUUGCCAGCUGGUUUGUCUGCCGUAUAAAAAAUUGUUACCCCUUCUACUUUGUUGCGCUCCUGUUAAUUAUUGGCGAGGUCUGUUCCUUCUGCGUAAAUGGCCCGUCUGACGUAGACAGGCUUAUUAUAGCGCAGUUUUUAAUUAGUCUGGGUGUGGGGAUCAUAACGCUGUUAGUCCCCAUGCUGCUUUUCAGCGCUAUCGGCAGUACACAGACAUUUGUUAUUUUAUUUAGCCUCUGCUUACUGUUCAAAUUUAUCAUCGCUGGCUGUCUGUCUAUAUU